AUCAGAGUUGCUGUGGGUCAUCGAAUUUGUCAGGAAGGCGACAUACAGGUGUAUUUAGUGGAUGAGUUAUCACUUCGCUGUAUGGUUGCUGGUGCUGAGAAAUGCCUCGAUGACAUUUUCAUUGUUAAAAAUGGACUAUGGAAACAAGAUCAGUCAACAUGUGUGAGUGCACCUUCACCAAUCCCACAAAUGCCUCUGCUCUCACGAAUUUAUUACCCUUGGGAGAGCCUCAGCAAGACAGUACUUGAUGCAUUGGAAGCAGACAAUGUUCUGCUUCCCUCUCAACGACAGGAAGUGGCACACAUGGCAGCGUCAUGGCCCUGCAUAUCCAUUGAAGGUGGGAGGCACUCCUGAUAUUUAUUCACAGGCACCUGGUUGGUAUCAUUGAGAACGAAGGGAGCCAGCAGGCAUAAAAAAAUCAAGAGGGCUACAUACAUAAAUGCGUGAGGCAGUGAGGGCAGCAGAUGAACAUAGCAAGAAGUGGGAACAUCUCAUGUGAUACAUAGCGGUCAAAUGUUCCGCCACCAAAGUCAUGCACAAGUUAUUUGUAGUCUUUCCAGUAAUUUCCAAAAUAAAGGGUUAUUAUUGAAAAGCUAUCCUCUCUGGACACACAAAACAUGAGAAUUGAACAAUUAACAA